rnacentral:misc_RNA from 1 species
UUUCCGUAGGUGAACCUGCGGAAGGAUCAUUAGUGAAUAACCGAGGUGCGCGGGCUAGAGAUGACCCGAAAGGACGUGCACGCACGGGUGCCCUCACACAACUUCAUACCACCCAUAUGUGAACACCCGCGUGCGUCCCCCCUUGGCUUGUUCGGAGAGGGUCUUACGUUUUCACACAAUCUUUGUAUUCGGUGUAGAAUGUAUUUUAUCUUUUAACAACGACGCAAUCAAUACAACCUUCAAUAACGAAUCCAUUCGCUCUCGCAUCGCUGAAGAACC